rnacentral:rRNA from 1 species
GACGAACGCUGGCGGCGUGCUUAACACAUGCAAGUCGAGCGGUAAGGCCUCUUCGGGGGUACACGAGCGGCGAACGGGUGAGUAACACGUGGGUGACCUGCCCUCAGCUCUGGGAUAAGCCUGGGAAACUGGGUCUAAUACUGGAUAUGACUGCGCAUCGCAUGGUGUGUGGUGAAAAGUUUUUUCGGCUGGGGAUGGGCCCGCGGCCUAUCAGCUUGUUGGUGGGGUGAUGGCCUACCAAGGCGACGACGGGUAGCCGGCCUGAGAGGGCGUCCGGCCACACUGGGACUGAGACACGGCCCAGACUCCUACGGGAGGCAGCAGUGGGGAAUAUUGCGCAAUGGGCGGAAGCCUGACGCAGCGACGCCGCGUGGGGGAUGACGGCCUUCGGGUUGUAAACCUCUUUCGACCGGGACGAAGCGUGAGUGACGGUACCGGUAGAAGAAGCACCGGCCAACUACGUGC